UACGGGGGGGGUAAGCGUUGUUCGGAAUUACUGGGCGUAAAGGGCUCGUAGGCGGCCAACUAAGUCGGACGUGAAAUCCCUCAGCUUAACUGGGGAACUGCGUCCGAUACUGGAUGGCUUGGAUUUGGGAGAGGGAUGCGGAAUUCCAGGUGUAGCGGUGAAAUGCGUAGAUAUCUGGAAGAACACCAGUGGCGAAGGCGACUUACUGGACGACUGUUGACGCUGAGGUGCGAAAGCGUGGGGAGCAAACAGG
rnacentral:rRNA from 1 species